UGAGGAAUAUUGGGCAAUGCCCGAAAGGGUGACCCAGCAACGCCGCGUGGAGGAUGAAGGUCGUAAGAUUGUAAACUCCUGUUAGAGGGGAAGAAUAACUAAGUUUGGAGCUUAGUAUGACUGUACCCUCAGAGAAAGCCCCGGCUAACUACGUGCCAGCAGCCGCGGUAAUACGUAGGGGGCAAGCGUUGUCCGGAUUUACUGGGUGUAAAGGGCGCGCAGGCGGAAUGGAAAGUCAGUGGUGAAAUCCUACAGCUUAACUGUAGAACUGCCUUUGAUACUUUCAUUCUUGAGUUCGGGAGAGAGAGACGGAAUUCCAGGUGUAGUGGUGAAAUACGUAGAUAUCUGGAAGAACACCAGUUGCGAAGGCGGUCUCUUGGUCCGAUACUGACGCUCAGACGCGAAAGCUAGGGGAGCAAACGGGAUUAGAUACCCCGGUAGUCCCUGAGCGGGCUGGCAAGGCGCAU
rnacentral:rRNA from 1 species